AGUGAACGCUGGCGGUAGGCCUAACACAUGCAAGUCGAACGGCAGCACAGUAAGAGCUUGCUCUUACGGGUGGCGAGUGGCGGACGGGUGAGGAAUACAUCGGAAUCUACUUUUUCGUGGGGGAUAACGUAGGGAAACUUACGCUAAUACCGCAUACGACCUACGGGUGAAAGCAGGGGAUCUUCGGACCUUGCGCGAUUGAAUGAGCCGAUGUCGGAUUAGCUAGUUGGCGGGGUAAAGGCCCACCAAGGCGACGAUCCGUAGCUGGUCUGAGAGGAUGAUCGGCCACACUGGAACUGAGACACGGUCCAGACUCCUACGGGAGGCAGCAGUGGGGAAUCUUCCGCAAUGGGCGCAAGCCUGAUCCAGCAAUACCGCGUGAGUGAUGAAGGCCUUCGGGUCGUAAAACCCUUUUGUUGGGAAAGAACAGCAGCAGAUUAAACCCCGGAUGUCCUGACGGUACCUAAUCAGUAAGCACCGGCUAACUUCGUG
rnacentral:rRNA from 1 species